rnacentral:rRNA from 1 species
AGUGAACGCUGGCGGUAGGCCUAACACAUGCAAGUCGAACGGCAGCACAGUAAGAGCUUGCUCUUACGGGUGGCGAGUGGCGGACGGGUGAGGAAUACAUCGGAAUCUACUUUUUCGUGGGGGAUAACGUAGGGAAACUUACGCUAAUACCGCAUACGACCUACGGGUGAAAGCAGGGGAUCUUCGGACCUUGCGCGAUUGAAUGAGCCGAUGUCGGAUUAGCUAGUUGGCGGGGUAAAGGCCCACCAAGGCGACGAUCCGUAGCUGGUCUGAGAGGAUGAUCAGCCACACUGGAACUGAGACACGGCCAAGACUCCUACGGGAGGCAGCAGUGGGGAAUAUUGGACAAUGGGCGCAAGCCUGAUCCAGCCAUACCGCGUGGGUGAAGAAGGCCUUCGGGUUGUAAAGCCCUUUUGUUGGGAAAGAAAAGCAGCAGGUUAAUACCCCGCUGUUCUGACGGUACCCAAAGAAUAAGCACCGGCUAACUUCGUG